GUGAACGCUGGCGGUAGGCCUAACACAUGCAAGUCGAACGGCAGCACAGUAAGAGCUUGCUCUUCCGGGUGGCGAGUGGCGGACGGGUGAGGAAUACAUCGGAAUCUACUUUUUCGUGGGGGAUAACGUAGGGAAACUUACGCUAAUACCGCAUACGACCUACGGGUGAAAGCAGGGGAUCUUCGGACCUUGCGCGAUUGAAUGAGCCGAUGUCGGAUUAGCUAGUUGGCGGGGUAAAGGCCCACCAAGGCGACGAUCGGUAGCUGGUCUGAGAGGAUGAUCAGCCACACUGGAACUGAGACACGGUCCAGACUCCUACGGGAGGCAGCAGUGGGGAAUAUUGGGCAAUGGGCGCAAGCCUGAUCCAGCCAUACCGCGUGGGUGAAGAAGGCCUUCGGGUUGUAAAGCCCUUUUGUUGGGAAAGAAAAGCAGCAGGUUAAUACCCCGCUGUUCUGACGGUACCCAAAGAAUAAGCACCGGCUAACUUCGUG
rnacentral:rRNA from 1 species